CUCCCAGGGGACACCCCGAACCCCGCCACCGGCCGCUUCCCCCCGCCAGCUUCAGAACGACCCCUUCCCUCUCAGCGACAGCCGGGCCGGACCGCGCCCUCGCGCAGGCGCGAGGCGAGGCCGUUAGCCGCGACCGUUAGGACCGUUAACCGCCGCACCUGUUAGCCCAGCGACAGCGCCUGUGGAGCCGUUGUCUUUUCCGCCGCUUCUCGGGAGAGGGCUGAUCUCCGUCCCGUUGAGAACAUGCCGGUGGCAGAGCCUCAGGUGUUUAUAUCUCUGCGUGUGGAAGAGGUGUUUUCUGUGGUAGAAAGGGCUGCACAGUUCUGCAAAACCUGAUUAGCUGUGGGACUUCUGACAACAGGUAUGCAAACACAAUAUUCAAACAACUCUAUAAUGUAACUAAGGGAUCUGUGUCAUUAGUUUCAAAACACCGCUUAAAGAGUUUUUACACUGAAAACUCUUCCAUUG
rnacentral:lncRNA from 1 species